rnacentral:misc_RNA from 1 species
AUUAAGUUGGUUAAAUCCAAUGAAUGCGUAAUAGAUGAACGCCAUAGACUCUAACAUAAGAACUACAGAUAUAAUAUUCCCAUAUUUUAUCCUUCCAUACUGAAGACAAAUAAUUAAUGAAGCUAUAUGAAAAAAGGAAUGAACAUUCACGCGUGAAAAUUUUAUUGGGAAAGCAAAGAAUUCAACAAUCCCCAAUUAUGGGAUCAUCGAAUGUAAGUCCAUAUGCAUUUAAAUUCAAAAGAGUUGAAAUUACUUGACCAAUGCCGCCAAAGAG